rnacentral:rRNA from 1 species
GGGCGUGGCGGGUCUUACCAUGCAGUCGACGAUGAACCACUUCGGUGGGGAUUAGUGGCGAACGGGUGAGUAACACGUGGGCAAUCUGCCCUGCACUCUGGGACAAGCCCUGGAAACGGGGUCUAAUACCGGAUACUGAUCCUCGCAGGCAUCUGCGAGGUUCGAAAGCUCCGGCGGUGCAGGAUGAGCCCGCGGCCUAUCAGCUAGUUGGUGAGGUAACGGCUCACCAAGGCGACGACGGGUAGCCGGCCUGAGAGGGCGACCGGCCACACUGGGACUGAGACACGGCCCAGACUCCUACGGGAGGCAGCAGUGGGGAAUAUUGCACAAUGGGCGAAAGCCUGAUGCAGCGACGCCGCGUGAGGGAUGACGGCCUUCGGGUUGUAAACCUCUUUCAGCAGGGAAGAAGCGAAAGUGACGGUACCUGCAGAAGAAGCGCCGGCUAACUACGUGCCAGCAGCCGCGGUAAUACGUAGGGCGCAAGCGUUGUCCGGAAUUAUUGGGCGUAAAGAGCUCGUAGGCGGCUUGUCACGUCGGUUGUGAAAGCCCGGGGCUUAACCCCGGGUCUGCAGUCGAUACGGGCAGGCUAGAGUUCGGUAGGGGAGAUCGGAAUUCCUGGUGUAGCGGUGAAAUGCGCAGAUAUCAGGAGGAACACCGGUGGCGAAGGCGGAUCUCUGGGCCGAUACUGACGCUGAGGAGCGAAAGCGUGGGGAGCGAACAGGAUUAGUCCCC